rnacentral:rRNA from 1 species
GACGAACGCUGGCGGCGUGCUUAACACAUGCAAGUCGAGCGAGCAGAUUCCCUUCGGGGAUGAAGCUAGCGGCGGACGGGUGAGUAACACGUGGGCAACCUGCCUUAUAGAGGGGGAUAGCCUUCCGAAAGGAAGAUUAAUCCCGCAUAACAUCAGAUUAUCGCAUGGUAGACUGAUCAAAGGAGCAAUCCGCUAUAAGAUGGGCCCGCGUCGCAUUAGCUAGUUGGUGAGGUAACGGCUCACCAAGGCGACGAUGCGUAGCCGACCUGUGAGUGUGAUCGGCCACAUUGGGACUGAGACACGUCCCAGACUCCUACGGGAGGCAGCGGUGGGGAAUAUUGCACAAUGGGGGAAACCCUGAUGCAGCAACGCCGCGUGAGUGAUGAAGGCCUUCGGGUUGUAAAGCUCUUUGAUCAGGGACGAUAAUGACGGUACCUGAAGAACAAGCCACGGCUAACUACGUGCCAGCCGCCGCGGUAAGAC